rnacentral:rRNA from 1 species
UACGUAGGGUCCGAGCGUUGUCCGGAAUUAUUGGGCGUAAAGGGCUCGUAGGCGGUUUGUUGCGUCGGGAGUGAAAUCCUCCAGCUUAACUGGAGGCUUGCUUUCGAUACGGGCAGACUUGAGGUACUCAGGGGAGAAUGGAAUUCCUGGUGUAGCGGUGAAAUGCGCAGAUAUCAGGAGGAACACCGGUGGCGAAGGCGGUUCUCUGGGAGUUACCUGACGCUGAGGAGCGAAAGUGUGGGGAGCGUACAGG